rnacentral:rRNA from 1 species
AGGCUUAACACAUGCAAGUCGAGCGCACCUUCGGGUGAGCGGCGGACGGGUUAGUAACGCGUGGGAACAUACCCUUUGGUACGGAAUAGCCUCUGGAAACGGAGAGUAAUACCGUAUGAGCCCUUCGGGGGAAAGAUUUAUCGCCAAAGGAUUGGCCCGCGUUAGAUUAGGUAGUUGGUGGGGUAAUGGCCUACCAAGCCUACGAUCUAUAGCUGGUUUUAGAGGAUGAUCAGCAACACUGGGACUGAGACACGGCCCAGACUCCUACGGGAGGCAGCAGUGGGGAAUCUUGGACAAUGGGGGCAACCCUGAUCCAGCCAUGCCGCGUGAGUGAUGAAGGCCUUAGGGUCGUAAAGCUCUUUCGCCUGUGAAGAUAAUGACGGUAGCAGGUAAAGAAACCCCGGCUAACUCCGUGCCAGCAGCCGCGGUAAUACGGAGGGGGUUAGCGUUGUUCGGAAUUACUGGGCGUAAAGCGCACGUAGGCGGACUGGAAAGUUGGGGGUGAAAUCCCAGGGCUCAACCCUGGAACUGCCUCCAAAACUAUCAGUCUAGAGUUCGAGAGAGGUGAGUGGAAUUCCGAGUGUAGAGGUGAAAUUCGUAGAUAUUCGGAGGAACACCAGUGGCGAAGGCGGCUCACUGGCUCGAUACUGACGCUGAGGUGCGAAAGUGUGGGGAGCAAACAGGAUUAGAUACCCUGGUAGUCCACACCGUAAACGAUGAAUGCCAGUCGUCGGGUAGCAUGCUAUUCGGUGACACACCUAACGGAUUAAGCAUCCGC